rnacentral:rRNA from 1 species
CAGCAGCCGCGGUAACACAGAGGGUGCGAGCGUUAAUCGGAUUUACUGGGCGUAAAGCGUGCGUAGGCGGCUUCUUAAGUCGGAUGUGAAAUCCCUGAGCUUAACUUAGGAAUUGCAUUCGAUACUGGGAAGCUAGAGUAUGGGAGAGGAUGGUAGAAUUCCAGGUGUAGCGGUGAAAUGCGUAGAGAUCUGGAGGAAUACCGAUGGCGAAGGCAGCCAUCUGGCCUAAUACUGACGCUGAGGUACGAAAGCAUGGGGAGCAAACAGGAUUAGAGACCCGUGUAGUCCCUGUCUCUUAUAU